rnacentral:rRNA from 1 species
GAUGAACGCUGGCGGCGUGCUUAACACAUGCAAGUCGAACGAUGAUCCGGUGCUUGCACCGGGGAUUAGUGGCGAACGGGUGAGUAACACGUGAGUAACCUGCCCUUAACUCUGGGAUAAGCCUGGGAAACUGGGUCUAAUACCGGAUAUGACUCCUCAUCGCAUGGUGGGGGGUGGAAAGCUUUUGUGGUUUUGGAUGGACUCGCGGCCUAUCAGCUUGUUGGUGAGGUACUGGCUCACCAAGGCGAGGACGGGUACCAGGCCUGAGAGGGCGACCGGCCACAGCGGGACGGGGACACGACCCUGACGCCGACGGGGGGAAGGGGCGGGGAAGAGUGCAGAAGGGGGGGAAGCCUGGUGCAGCGGCGCCGCGUGCGGGCUGACCGGCUUCGGGUUGUAAACCUCUUGCAGUAGGGAAGAAGCGAAAGUGACGGUACCUGCAGAAGAAGCGCCGGCUAACUACGUGCCAGCAGCCGCCGUAACAC